UGUAUAAUGGGUCAGCGACUUAUAUUCUGUAGCAAGGUUAACCGAAUAGGGGAGCCGAAGGGAAACCGAGUCUUAACUGGGCGUUAAGUUGCAGGGUAUAGACCCGAAACCCGGUGAUCUAGCCAUGGGCAGGUUGAAGGUUGGGUAACACUAACUGGAGGACCGAACCGACUAAUGUUGAAAAAUUAGCGGAUGACUUGUGGCUGGGGGUGAAAGGCCAAUCAAACCGGGAGAUAGCUGGUUCUCCCCGAAAGCUAUUUAGGUAGCGCCUCGUGAAUUCAUCUCCGGGGGUAGAGCACUGUUUCGGCAAGGGGGUCAUCCCGACUUACCAACCCGAUGCAAACUGCGAAUACCGGAGAAUGUUAUCACGGGAGACACACGGCGGGUGCUAACGUCCGUCGUGAAGAGGGAAACAACCCAGACCGCCAGCUAAGGUCCCAAAGUCAUGGUUAAGUGGGAAACGAUGUGGGAAGGCCCAGACAGCCAGGAUGUUGGCUUAGAAGCAGCCAUCAUUUAAAGAAAGCGUAAUAGCUCACUGGUCGAGUCGGCCUGCGCGGAAGAUGUAACGGGGCUAAACCAUGCACCGAAGCUGCGGCAGCGACACUGUGUGUUGUUGGGUAGGGGAGCGU
rnacentral:rRNA from 1 species